rnacentral:rRNA from 1 species
UGCAACCCGACUACAUGAAGCUGGAAUCGCUAGUAAUCGCGAAUCAGAAUGUCGCGGUGAAUACGUUCCCGGGUCUUGUACACACCGCCCGUCACACCAUGGGAGUCGGAAAUGCCCGAAGUCAGUGACCUAACCGAAAGGGAGGAGCUGCCGAAGGUGGAGCCGGUAACUGGGGUGAAGUCGUAACAAGGUACC